GGAGCUGAUAUCAGGCACAAGUUGCCCANNACAUCUAGCCACACCACACCCAUAAGGGCCCUCAGCAGUGAUUAACAUUAAGAAUAAACGUAAGUUUGANUUAGUCAGAGAAAACAGAGCCGGCCAAUCUGGUGCCAGCCGCCGCGGUUACACCAUGUGGCUCAAAUUGAUUUUAACACGGCGUAAAGCGUGAUUAAAGAAAUAUAUUCUGGGGUUAAAAUUAAAUUAAGCUGUCGCWCGAUUAUUUUUAAGAAGUCCUCACUCGAAAGUUACCCCAAUAGACCAACUUGAAUUCASGACAAUUAGAACACAAACUGGGAUUAGAUACCCCACUAUGUCUAGUCGUAAACUUUAACUUACACCACAUCGCCAGGGGACUACGAGCAAAGCUUAAAACCCAAAGGACUUGACGGUACCCCAUAUCCUUCUAGAGGAGCCUGUCCUGUAAUCGAUAACCCCCGUUCAACCUCACCAUUUUUAGCCCAUCAGCCUGUAUACUUCCGUCGUCAGCUUACCGCAUGAGCGAACAGUAAACUCAAUGUCAACCAUCAAUACGUCAGGUCAAAGUGCAGCAUAUAAAAUGGCAAUAGAUGGGCUACACUUUCUWCCCUAGAAAAUACKAAAAAUUAUGUGRAACCAUAUUCAGAAGGCGGAUUUAGCAGUAARGGCGAACUARAAUGCCUCCCUUUAACUUGGCACUGGGGUGUGUACACACCGCCCGUCACCCUCUUC
rnacentral:rRNA from 1 species